rnacentral:rRNA from 1 species
AACGAACGCUGGCGGCAUGCUUUACACAUGCAAGUCGAACGAGAAAGCUCUUCGGAGUGAGUAUAGUGGCGCACGGGUGAGUAAUGCUUGGGAAUAUACCUUUAGGUGGGGAAUAACUAUGGGAAACCGUAGCUAAUACCGCAUGUGCUGUUCGCAGUAAAGGUGGCUUCGGCUACCGCCUAUUGAUUAGCCCAAGUCCCAUUAGCUAGUUGGCAGGGUAAAAGCCUACCAAGGCUACGAUGGGUAGCGGGUCUGAGAGGACGAUCCGCCACACUGGGACUGAGACACGGCCCAGACUCCUACGGGAGGCAGCAGUGGGGAAUCUUGCACAAUGGGCGCAAGCCUGAUGCAGCAAUGCCGCGUGAGUGAAGAAGGCUUUCGGGUUGUAAAUCUCUUUCGACAGGGAAGAAGGGUGUUCAUGUAAAUAAUGUGAGUACUUGACGGUACCUGUAUAAGAAGCACCGGCUAACUCCG